GUGCUUUCAUUUAUUUAUUGUAACACUUACCAUUUCUCAAAAAAUAUUUGAAAUACUCCCAUUUAAUAAAGGCGUGAAUGGUACAACUGGAAGAUAAUACAAGAGGUCACUCGAGAUGUUCUAAUUAAGUCUAGUGUAGAAACCUCUAAAAGCAUCAAUCUGAUAGCGUGACACUAUGAUAAUUACAGGUGUUUAAAGGAGACAAGAUAAACCUAAAGCUUCGGGAAACGAAGUAGUUUCAAUAGACCUACAAUCUCUAGCAUUUCAUGCAAGGUUAGCAAAGAACAAAACAGUAGAGACAAAGUAUCCAUGUGGGGGAUACCAACUAGCUGGGAUAAAGGUUUAGUUGUUGGUACACUUACAUCAAGUCUAGUGUUUAUUAGGAGUCCAUUCAGUUUGGUUAAAAAUUUGUCUAUGAAAGGAUAAGUGUGAAUUCACUAUUUUAGGUAAACCCUACUAUGUCUUAAAAAGAAAUUGUCUAUGAAAGGAUAAGUGUGAAUUCACACCAACUAGCUGGGAUAAAGGUUUAGUUGUUGGUACACUUACAUCAAGUCUAGUGUUUAUUAGGAGUCCAUUCAGUUUGGUUAAAAAUUUGUCUAUGAAAGGAUAAGUGUGAAUUCACUAUUUUAGGUAAACCCUACUAUGUCUUAAAAAGAAAUUAUUGAGUACAGAAAAUGAAAUGAUCUCAAAAGGAAUUGAAUAAAUACACAGAAUUCAUAUAAUCAAUCCCUACUACUUUCGGAAUUGAGGCGUAGUAUUUGGCACAAAAAAACCAAAAGAGAUAGAUCUAUUAAAGAAUAGGUGGUUUCUCAGAAAUAUAUCACCAACUAUGGUGUUCAAAAGGCUGCAGAUUGAGCAAAUCAAGGAUGUAAUAGCGCCUCGGCCAACCCUAUAGAACUUAAUAAGAUGCUUCCUAAUGGUAAGCUAGCUUUAUAUGAACACAGGACUUAUCUAAAGAAGCCUCACAAAAUAUGAAAACCAUGCAAGUAAACUCAUCUCAGCCAGCAAGAAAAUUUUUAAGUCCUCAAAAUUUGUAAUAACCAAUGGGCAAGGCUACUAAAAGCACGUAGUAUCUUCAAAUUAUAAUUACAAGCCCAACAAUCCAUCUUCUUGCUCUAUACAGUUUGUGUUAGGUAAAACCCAGA
rnacentral:lncRNA from 1 species